rnacentral:rRNA from 1 species
GACGAACGCUGGCGGCGUGCUUAACACAUGCAAGUCGAACGGAAAGGCCCUGCUUUUGUGGGGUGCUCGAGUGGCGAACGGGUGAGUAACACGUGAGUAACCUGCCCUUGACUUUGGGAUAACUUCAGGAAACUGGGGCUAAUACCGGAUAGGAGCUCCUGCUGCAUGGUGGGGGUUGGAAAGUUUCGGCGGUUGGGGAUGGACUCGCGGCUUAUCAGCUUGUUGGUGGGGUAGUGGCUUACCAAGGCUUUGACGGGUAGCCGGCCUGAGAGGGUGACCGGCAACAUUGGGACUGAGACACGGCCGGGACGCCUACGGGAGGCAGCAGGGGGGAAUAUGGCACAAGGGGCGGAAGCCUUAUGCAGCAACGCCGGGUGCGGGAGGGCGGCCUUCGGGUUGAAAACCGCUUCCGCCGGUGACGAAGCGGGAGGGAGGGAAAGGGGUAAAGAAGCCCCGGCAAACUCCGUG